rnacentral:rRNA from 1 species
AGUGAACGCUGGCGGUAGGCCUAACACAUGCAAGUCGAACGGCAGCACAGUAAGAGCUUGCUCUUACGGGUGGCGAGUGGCGGACGGGUGAGGAAUACAUCGGAAUCUACUUUUUCGUGGGGGAUAACGUAGGGAAACUUACGCUAAUACCGCAUACGACCUACGGGUGAAAGCAGGGGUUCUCGGAGCUUUUGCUGUUGGAUGGGGCCGAUUCCGGAUUAGCUAGUUGGGGGGGUAAAGGCCCACCAAGGCGACGAUCCGUAGCUGGUCUGAGAGGAUGAUCAGCCACACUGGAACUGAGACACGGUCCAGACUCCUACGGGAGGCAGCAGUGGGGAAUAUUGGACAAUGGGCGCAAGCCUGAUCCAGCCAUACCGCGUGGGUGAAGAAGGCCUUCGGGUUGUAAAGCCCUUUUGUUGGGAAAGAAAAGCAGCAGGUUAAUACCCCGCUGUUCUGACGGUACCCAAAGAAUAAGCACCGGCUAACUUCGUG